UACGUAGGGGGCUAGCGUUGUCCGGAUUUACUGGGCGUAAAGAGCGUGUAGGCGGCCACGCAGGUCCGUUGUGAAAACUGGAGGCUCAACCUUCAGACGUCGACGGAAACCGUGUGGCUAGAGUCCGGAAGAGGAGAGUGGAAUUCCUGGUGUAGCGGUGAAAUGCGCAGAUAUCAGGAAGAACACCAAUGGCGAAGGCAGCUCUCUGGGACGGUACUGACGCUGAGACGCGAAAGCGUGGGGAGCGAACAGG
rnacentral:rRNA from 1 species